UACGUAGGGGGCAAGCGUUGUCCGGACUUACUGGGCGUAAAGCGCGCGCAGGCGGACUCGUAUGUGCCGUGUGAAAGCGCCAUCCUUACGAUGGCGAGGUCAUGGUAGACAGCGGGUCUGGAGCCUCGGAGAGGUCGGUGGAAUUCCGGGUGGAGCGGUGAAAUGCGUAGAUAUCCGGAGGGACACCAGGGGCGAAAGCGGCCGACUGGCCGAGUGCUGACGCUGAGGCGCGACGGCGUGGGGAGCAAACCGG
rnacentral:rRNA from 1 species